CUAAGUUUUUCAAAUAAUUUGAUGUUAAACAUAUGAAUAUGUACUUUGUAAUAUAUAUUCACAUAUAACUGCGUAUGGGUGUCCACAGGAGGGGUUGUAGCUGUUGACAAAUGCAUUAAUGAACAUUUUUAUCUGCUUACAGCUACAUUAUAGUGUUUAAAAUUUAUUUAAUUUUUUGUUUGUUUGUUUGUUUUUAUUUCUUUAAAUCUUUAGACUUCUGAUAUAAUGUCAGUUGUGAAGUUCCAUAUGUGGUGUCUCAUACAGUGAACAGUACAGUGUUGGCCAUGAUUGCACAGAAAGCACUUUUUUUAACAUGGUUACACUUUGUGGUUUUCAGUGGUUUGGCUGCAACCAACACCUCUCUCCUUCAGACUACCAAUACCUACUGUGUAAAACACAGCAGGAACCAGGUGUGCACAUAGUUUCCUUGCAGUUACCUUUCACUCUCAACUUCUCACUCUCUCUGCAUUUCUCACAGGAACGUCUAUGAGUCAGUAAAACAGCUCGGUCUACUGUGUGUGUUUGCUGUGUUGGGGCCAAGAGGAAAACGAAUUCAGGAUGCUGUGGUCAGAGACCUCCAGUCUAUUCUCUUCCUCUAUUGACUGUUAUCUGUGUGUGUGUGUGUGUGUGUAUGUGUGUGAUGAGCCUCCUCCUGGAAGACACAUUCAGACCCUUUAAUAAAAGUACAAAUAUGAUGCAAAAGUAAAUACAAGCAUGCAUGUAUUAUCAGCAUGACGGAGCAGAUACCAUGCUGCUGUGAGCAUUAUAAAUAUAAGCUCAAGUUAUCAACAUUAGCUUGUACUUUUGAGCCAUUCCAUGUAGGCUGAAUCAUCUGGGACAACACUCUCUGCCUCUCCAUCUAACAUUUUUUUCCCAGGACUCUGCUGCACUGAAAAGAUACAAUGAACCUCAGCACAGCUGCACAGCAAGGAUACUAGGUGCCCUAUUGUACAAACAAAGCAGUAGAGUUCAACCCAGGUUACAAACAAAAGUAGGCUAAAGUUCACAGCAGUGGGGAGAGAGUGCAAAUCACAGUAAUUUCAACCAUUUCCAGUUUAUAUAAUCAAGAUCACACUAAAAAUACUACUACAACCAAUAUAUUUGAUUAAGAUGAUAAAAUGCACAAUAUGACCUGAUUUUUUGACGCUACACUAGGUAGCCUCCUAACCUUUUGCUAUCAUUUCAUAGCCUCCAAUUGUCCCUCAGGAUACCAAAAUGAAUAAAUGAAUAAAUUAUUUAUAUUAUUUAUUUAUUGACUAGAGUCUGCGAGGUGUUUUAUUUUGAAAAAUCCUACACCACAUCCGCCCGUGCCUUUUGAUACCGCUUGACACAUACCUGUCUGUCAUGGCUUAAAGAGCUAAGUAACCAGGUGAAAUGAGUGAACAACGAAUGUCUGUGGAGAGCGUUAUUGAAAAGGGAAAAAAAAGUCCAAUAAUGAGACAGACAGAAAAGCCAAAGACUGUCAAGACAAAUAAAGCUGCAUUUAGUGGGAAAUACCAGGACUCCAACUUAAAGUACGGCCUUAUCGCAACAGGUGAUUCACGUGCUCCAGGCCCCCUCUACAUAAUAUGUGGCUGCAUGCUUCAAAUGAGGCAAUGGACCCUUCAAAACUGCUUCGGCACACAGAGACAAAGCACCCUGCACUAAAAGACAAGCCUGAAUCUAAGUUCUUAUAAGGCAAAAACGUGAACAAGAAGGACAGAAGCAAGUCUUCAGGGCCACCACAGCAACAGGUGUAGCUGCACUAAGAGCACCGUACUUCACCGCUAGCUAACUGUGUUGCUAAGGCUAAGAAGGAAGCUGAUGCUGCCAGCUGCUGCGUUAUGGGAGAAACUUGCAUGAACCUCAAGCCUCAUGAAGCCCUGUCAGGAUCAGCUGGAUAAAAGAAAUAUGUGAAUGCUGAAGCAGUUACACAGGAUCCUUUGCCUUUGACAAAGAACUGCACGAGGGGAGUUUGCAUGGAGAAGGAGCUCAUUUGCAGACUGGAGAGAUGGAUAUGGAGAUACGAUGGCCCAGCCUGCCUGAGACCAGAAUGGGAGAGGUGGGACAUUUACCACAAAUUGUGAUCUGGUCGUGCACACACACUCUCUCACAUACACAGCUGUCUAAACAAGGAAUAGGGGCUCUUUUGCACAAGACUUUUAAGAUGGAAAAUUAACAUCUGCUGCUUUUGUGCUUGAUGUUUUGUGUGUGUUUUUGUGUGUAAGUUUAAGUUUGGCUAAGUGGCCGGCUGAUGGAAGAUGACUGGAAACAGCCAUGCUGCACUUUCAGUUUCCGCUCAGUGAACACACAGAUGCACACAGGCUCUCACGCACCACACUGAAGAAAGUCUGUUAAUUAAAUUUGUGUGGCUGUCAGACAAAAGCUUCACAGGUCUGGAUUCAAUUUGGGUUUUUCAAUUGAAAGAAUCAAAAUCACAGCACUGACCCAGCCCCAAGGAUUGGUCUCUGCAGUUUACUCUAAAACACUUACCUACUGUACUGACUAACUGUGAAAGGCAACCCUAUCCACAAGUGACUCCAAGCUGAAGUAGAAACUCAUCUGGCACAACAUGAAAACCCAAUACCCCAAUUAUCACAUUAAUAUUCACUGAGAUAUUUUAUAUAUUUCACCCCACUCAUCACCCUGUGCGCACAAAAUCAUUAAGUAUAGAGAUGUUUUAAAACACACUGUGCAAACCAAUUCCUUACACACAAGCAGUCUUAUUACUUAAAGUGUGCCACAUUUUCAAAAAUAUGUUCAUUUGACUUUUUGCUGUAAGUUAAAAAUUGAUUUCACUCUUAUGUUGGUACAGAAAAGUAGCUAGAGUUAGCGUUAGGUUAGCUUAGCUUAGCAUAAAAACUGGAAACGGGUAAAAGCUAGCCUUGCUCUGUCCAAAGGUAACACGGUAUGCCUAACAGCACCUCUAAAGUUAACUAAAUCACAGUUACCAUGUUUGUGUAAUGUGUAGGAAAACCAAAGGCAAUCAGUGGAGACGUAAGGAAGCCACGCCUCCUGAACAGUCUGACAACAAACAGCAAAAUGUCAUUUUUACUCUUCAGCUUUUCCACAGAUUGUAUGGCUGUCCUGUCUUUGAGCUAAGCUAAGCUAACCUGCUAUUGACUCAAGCUUCAUAAUUACUGUACAGUUGUGAAAGUGGCAUCAGUCCUCUGACUCCCAAAAUGUCAAACUAUUUCUUUAAUUUCAACUCCACCAUAGUCUCUUGCUAGCUGGCCUUGUAACCUGUACAGUAAAAAGAAAACCUCCCUAUUGUGUGAAAACUACAAACAGCAUCAUGCAUGCAAAUAAAUAAACAAAUAAAAUCCUCAUUGUAGAUGACCUGAUUUUAACUUAGGUAAAUAUCUAAAAUACCACCAUUUGUUUUCUCUGUGGUUUAAACUUGUAACCAUUUAAAAUUACGCCUCAAAAGAGGAAAUUUUCCAUCUGACUACAGUAAGCCAUCACGUUCAGUAGCUUUGUUUUCAUGCCUGCAGUAACACCACAAUUGCCAGAAGACUGAGUGAGACAAACACAAAAUUAAAACGUAUCAAUGAACCUCUUACAUUUGAACAUGUCGCUCUUGCAGGUGUUCCAACAAAGUGACAGAAAAACACGAGCUGCUGCAAUCAAUCACAUGAGCAACGUGAUUACACUUAAAUAACUGUGAUGAAGGUGUAAACAUGUUGUGACUGGUCUUUAUUAAACGCAGCCAACUCUGAGUAUUCCAGUGAGGUUGCUGUGGUAACACUGAGGGAAUAAUCUCUUAAUGUGAGGUUUAAGUGAGUCCUGCAACCACAUUUUUUCACCUAUAUUCUACAAGUAGGUCUACGGUACAUCAGGCAUCACUCACACUCAACACUAUAAACAUGUAAACUUACUUGCUGCUCUGUCACUCCACCCUCAUCUGUAGUUUUGCUAAAUGCUUCAUCAGCUGCUGUUAUUAGCUGCUGUUAUUAGCUACUUUACAGUUCCUGGCUCUUGGUAUCAGGCCAGGAUACUUAUAGUAUUGACCAUUAAGACUGUGUGAUGAAUGGAUGGAUUGCACUUUAGCUAAUUAAUCUGAGCUGCUGCUGCAGUUGCACUCACUGUCAGUCAAACCUAUAUGAGAGUGUUCAACUAAAAUGUAAUGAGAAGCCGUGGGAGGAGAGGUUCAGGGGAGAGGAAGAGGAGGAGGGGGUUUAGAUUUGUUGUUCCUAAGAAGUUUGCAAUUUGGCUUGCUUUGUUUGCAAGCAUUUGCAAUUAAAUACAUUUCCUGAUGAUUUUGUUUGGCUUUAUAUACUGCACGUUCAUAUUUUUGCACUGAUUAUAAACAGGCACUGUAUAUGUGAGAACAUUUGUAGGGCAUCCGCAAACUCAAAAUAGCUCACAGGUGCUGGUGUGCUACAUGUAGCUUCCUUAGUGAGGGUCACACGACUUGAAUAUGGUAACAGAGCCUUCUCUCAGUGUUUUACCUCCCCGAUAAAAGUAAAAAUUAACUACUACAUGUUUCCUAUUUUUGUAUUUUGGCCAAGAUAUUUCUCAGCCCUGCAAUAAAUAUCUCACUCCCCAAAAUGUGUAAUUGCUGCAGUUCAAAGGGAAACAAUCACAGACACUGAGCAAGCAGAGUCAUCACUACAUUAUUCUCAUAUUAAUUAGUGACUACUAACUGCUUCAGAAUGUCCAGAUCACACACUAUUAAUCUGAUCCAAGCAGCCACCGCACCGGAUAUCACCAUUUCACAAACAACAGAUGAACACAAUAAAGUCUGAAACUGGGCAGGCCCUGCACAGAUUAAGCUCCAUUUUAAUUCAUAAGUGGUCGCCCCCAAGUCAUUUUAAAAUCAAGCUGAGUUUGCACCAGUUUAGUUGUCUUUAAAUGCGCAGUCUGACGGGGGUGGGUCACCAACACCUGAAUGACUGUCUGAUUGAUCAGCUAUCUGGCUGUCCAGUUUCUUGCAGUUUAAGCAGUUCAAUGGACCGAUUCCCCAGAGAAAGUCAAAAGAUCUGCUAUAAACCGUAGGGAGCUGGCUUUCAUUUUAUUGACGCAGUAUUUUACAUCGCUAAUUGUAGUCGCGAUUGAGACAUAAAACUAAGCUUGACUGCAGAACAGGCAGACCAUACUGUCUGCAUCCUCCAGUCAUCUGCAUUUGAUUUCAAGUGUUGUUGCUUGAAAUAAUAGCAUGUUUCCCUCUAAAGUUUUUCAUGCAUUUCAGCUUUCCCAUUACACACACUGCUGUAAGGAUUUAGUCCUAUUGUUUGGCAUGAAGAACACAGAUUUGUUGACCAGGAUAUAAUCAGUUCAAAUCUCAGAUCCGUUGAUAAAAACUUGGGGCAGGAACAACGGCUCGUGCUGUGAUUCAGUUGAAUGGUCUUGGGUGAGACACAAAGGCCCUCUGUUGUUCAGUGCAGCACUGUGGUUCUACUAGAUUCUAUGCAAGGGUUUUGCUAGAGAAAUACCAGUUUAGUUAAGGUAGGGUGUCUUGCUCAAAGGCACGCAGGCAGGGAAACAGACUGCGUUUCCUUGAGUCAUGAUCAAAUACCACGCACUUGAAAGGACAAGUGAAAUUGUCCUGAGUUUUAAUAUUUACAAAUAAAACAAAGAAUAACCACAAAAAGAGAAGUUGAACAAGAUGCUGUUGGAGAAAUGACAUCAAUGUGGGUUGGACAAAACUUACAUAGAGCUGGAAAUGAGCAGACUACAGCAGAAAUAUCAGGUAGGCUUGUAAACCACAUUUACUGCAGCUUGGGGGCUUCCCAUGUUUUGAAUAUUUAGGAACCUUUAGUCAGAUUUUCAUCACUAUUGCUGAUAUCAACUCGUGAACAUGUAACUCCAUCUCACAUAAUCUCGCAUUACAAAGCUCUGACAGCUGCUAAAUAGGAAAUAGGAAAAGUUAGGGAGUAUGUCAGAUAAACAUGUUUGAUAUUAUCAACAAGGCACUGAGUACAGUAGUUUACAAAUGUGUUAAC